CCUACGGGAGGCAGCAGUGAGGAAUCUUGCGCAAUGGGCGAAAGCCUGACGCAGCGACGCCGCGUGGACGAUGAAGGCCUUCGGGUCGUAAAGUCCUGUCGGGUGGGAAGAAUUGGUCUGGGGCUAAUAUCCCCAGGCCUUGACUGUACCACCAGAGGAAGCCCCGGCUAACUCCGUGCCAGCAGCCGCGGUAAU
rnacentral:rRNA from 1 species